rnacentral:rRNA from 1 species
AUUGAACGCUGGCGGCAUGCUUUACACAUGCAAGUCGAACGGUAACAGGCCUUCGGGUGCUGACGAGUGGCGAACGGGUGAGUAAUGCAUCGGAACGUACCCAGAGGUGGGGGAUAACGCAGCGAAAGCUGUGCUAAUACCGCAUGUGAUCUGAGGAUGAAAGCGGGGGACCGAGCAGCAAUGUUUGGCCUCGCGCCUUUGGAGCGGCCGAUGUCGGAUUAGCUAGUUGGUGGGGUAAAGGCCUACCAAGGCGACGAUCCGUAGCUGGUCUGAGAGGACGACCAGCCACACUGGGACUGAGACACGGCCCAGACUCCUACGGGAGGCAGCAGUGGGGAAUUUUGGACAAUGGGCGCAAGCCUGAUCCAGCAAUGCCGCGUGCGGGAAGAAGGCCUUCGGGUUGUAAACCGCUUUUGGCAGGAACGAAACGGUGUCCGCUAAUACCGGGCGCUAAUGACGUUACCUGCAGAAUAAGCACCGGCUAACUACGUG